rnacentral:rRNA from 1 species
CAAUACAAGGCAUACGGCUCAGUAACGCGUAGUCAACCUAACCUAUGGACGGGAAUAACCUCGGGAAACUGAGAAUAAUGCCCGAUAGAACAUUAUGCCUGGAAUGGUUUAUGUUCCAAAUGAUUUAUCGCCGUAGGAUGGGACUGCGGCCUAUCAGUUUGUUGGUGAGGUAAUGGCCCACCAAGACUAUUACAGGUACGGGCUCUGAGAGGAGUAGCCCGGAGAUGGGUACUGAGACACGGACCCAGGCCCUAUGGGGCGCAGCAGGCGAGAAAACUUUGCAAUGUGCGAAAGCACGACAAGGUUAAUCCGAGUGGUUUCUGCUAAAGAAACCUUUUGUCAGUCCUAGAAACACUGAUGAAUAAGGGGUGGGCAAGUUCUGGUGUCAGCCGCCGCGGUAAAACCAGCACCUCAAGUGGUCAGGAUGAUUAUUGGGCCUAAAGCAUCCGUAGCCGGCUCUGUAAGUUUUCGGUUAAAUCUGUACGCUCAACGUACAGGCUGCCGGGAAUACUGCAGAGCUAGGGAGUGGGAGAGGUAGACGGUACUCGGUAGGAAGGGGUAAAAUCCUUUGAUCUAUUGAUGACCACCUGUGGCGAAGGCGGUCUACCAGAACACGUCCGACGGUGAGGGAUGAAAGCUGGGGGAGCAAACCGGAUUAGAUUCCCGGGUAGUCCCCACUG